UUUUCCUCCCUGUCGUCUUUCUUUUUCCCAGCUCGAAAAUAAACUGAAAUCUUUUGCAAGAGGGUGCAUGUGAGGAACAGAGUGAGGGGGUGUUCAGAAAGAGCACCGGCGGGAGUCUGGACAACAGCCAGACUGUCGACUCCAGGGGCGAACAGUGGGCCCGCACACCAAAUACUCUCUCGUCCUCGGCAAUUGAAAUCUCUCUCGGCGUGGCCGCCAGGGCAAGGAAAGGUGGGUAGCGGGGGUUGGAGGAAGUCUGCCCGCCCGCUUUGAUUUCCCGAGAUUCGGCGGCGGAGAAACCAGAAGUUAGAUGGGCAGCAGAGCCAGUGGCGGCGCGGCUCGGCUCGGCUCCAAGCUGUGAGCCGGGAUCCCCGCCCUUCCCGGCCACGUGAUGCCCGGGGACGCGCAGAUUGGGGCAAGAGCGGGGGUCACAUGUUUCCUCUGUUUCACACUCAGCCCCCCCCCCCCAUUCUUACUCUCCCCUGCCACCCUCUCUCCUCCUCUCCCUCUGCCCCCCGCCACUAGUUUUUUGGGCAUCUCCACCCCUCCAUCAAUUGUCAAUGUUCCUCGACCGCAAUCAAUCAGUUAUUUGUCAGCUCUUGUCAAUCCGCCGGUGAUUUAUGUCAGCUUUUGUUGCUGAUUACAAGGCGGGUGCGACUUGAAGGGAAAAAGAGGGAGAGAGAGACAGAGAGGAAGGAAGAGACCGAGGGGGAACCGGAGGAGGGGGAAAGAGGAGCAGCCUCCUGGGAUGCGGGGGGGAGGGGGGGCGGUGCUUUAAGAAAAAGAAUGAAAGAAGGGAAAGGCGCUCAGUGCCAGAAAAAUGAACAGUGAGAGUAAAGUGCGCAGGUGUGCCCAGGGCGCAGAGAUGGGUGUGCAGACCUGGGGUGUGCGUCUGGCCCCUUUCGGUGUCGGAGAGAGAGAUACAUCCUUCCAUCUCUGGGGACUUCAGUUCGUUGGGGCGGCGGAUUCCGGAGCGGCUGCUGGUACCCGAGGCGGGCAGCGGCGGCGUCUUACAUGGGAUAUCCGGCUCACCCCGCCAUAGUCCCUCGGGGGCGUAUAGCAUGCGGAAGUCCGGCUGCCAGCCUGCUGCGGACCCCACCCUCCAAACUGGCCUGACCUCAAACUCGGAGUCUUCUUUCUAAGAGCCAACCUAACCUUAAGUCCUAGAGCUGUAACGUCCCCGACCUCGCUGAUGGCGUUGCCUGGGCUUUGCAAAUAUGCGGAGGAGACUCACGGGGCAUCUGGGCCUCAGCACUGAAAUCGACGGGAUUUCUCUGGCUGGUGUUUGAGCUGCCUGUAUCCGAAUAAAUCCAGCUCUCAAGCGUCCGGCAGGAAACGGCUCCGGGUUUGCGCGUACGCAGACGCAUCGGCCAGCGCGGGACGCGUUGUGGCUCCUCCUGUUCGUGCCGCGGCAGGUCCGGCCUCUGAGGGAGGCUAGCCCAGCAGCGCCUUUAGGCCGAACGGCCGCUCGCGGCCCGGCAGUGCCUGGCAGCUCCCAUCUCCGGCGGUAGUCGGCAACCGCUGGGCCAAGUCCGCCCGCGGCGAAAACUGAAAGCAAAUUCCGCGGCAGAUGAAGCCCGAACUUUCUUGGACGCAAGUUUGCAGUAGAGAUUCGGUGGCGGCUUUGGGAGGACAGCGCGCUAGUGUGUGCGCGCGCAAGGUGGGGCGGUGGGCGAAGAGAGCACCCGGCGGCCGAGCCUGGCCCGAGGCGAAACACUAGGGAAGGCGCCUUCCCUUCUUUAUUUCUCGCCAACUCCUCGGCUCCUGUCCGUAAAAAUAGUUUCCAAGGUGCCUCGGACGCCCAGAAUGUGUUUAUGGGGAUCGCACCAGAGAAAGGAAGGCUUUGUAAAAGUUGUAGAAAGAGCUUUGCGCAGCGUUCGCCCAGCGGGGUUCAAGAAAGCUUGGGACUAGCUCGCCUUCCCUGGGGAGGAAUAGCCAGAAAUUGGCCUGGGGAGCCCCCUGCCUAGUCCUGUCCCCUCACCUCCAACCCACGAGUAUAUAAGCUCUCGCUGCCUGCGCUGCAAACUUCUCGGCGCGGCGCCGCGGUCAGCGGGCGAGGACAGGACGCAGAGCGGGCCGGCAAGGCCGCUCCUCGGAGCUCUCAGCCCCAGCCCUGAGUGAGGCUUGCGCGGAGGUGAGAGGACGAGUGUGGUUCCCGCUCCCACUUGGCUGCCGAAACCGUCAUCGCCGACCUCCCAACUCCCGGAGCCGGCGCUUCCCCUGGGAGCGGCGGUCUUGGGGGGCUGGCGAGGGCGCAAAUUGCGCGUGCGAAGCGAAGCGCACGAGGGCGGGGGCGGCCGCGGGUCUCUCCGCGGGGCCUGUCGCCGAGCCGGCCGCGGCGGGUGAGUGAUGAGGGCAGAGAAGGGCGCCCAUAAAUCGUGAGUGUCAGGGCGAAAAACUCUCUUUAUUGUCUGUGUGAUGGAUGGGCCCGGGGACGAGACACCAAAUACUUCGUAUCGCCUUUAAAUGGGAACACAUUUUCCGCGGCCAUAAUUCAUGUUUUUUAAAUAGAAAGUUUGAAAUGUUGCCUAUAUUUCACCGGCCCUGACAUAUUUAUGAAUCGCUCCCUGCAUGCAAAUAUCAUUAUUUAAAGCGCCGGGGAGAGCUGGGGGAGGGGAGGAGGCGCAGCCCCCGGGGCGUGGGGGUGGUGAACCGGGGAAAUGCGGAUGGAAGGGGGGCCAUCUCCCUAAAGUGCGGACGACGAGGCGCGGGGAAGCCGUAUCCGGAAACUGAGCUCACUGGGGGCUCCCCUCCUGCCGCCGGACCCCCGCACCGCAGCUCCGGGAAGUUUGCGCGGCUUGGGGCCGAGGACAGUCCCCCGCCCCCUGCUAGGAGACCAAGGGGCAUUUUGCGUCCUUCUCCGAGGCUCUGAUCCGAGCCUAAACCGCCUUUUCCAAGAAGGAAGUAAAAAAAAAAGAAUUUAACAAACGCAAAUAAUAACAAUCCAACAUGUUUCGUGUUC